GCCUGGCUGACUCAGUCGGUAGAGCAUGGGACUCUUGAUCUCGGGGUUGUGAGUUCAAGCCCCACACUGGGUG
rnacentral:tRNA from 1 species